CUUCUCAGAUUUUAUUAUAUAUUUGCAUUUUCUUGUUGAACAUUAUGUUUCUAUUCUUCAGUUUUUUUUUGUAUGGCUAUUUUUUUAGAUCUUAUAGAUAUGAACGAUUUUUUUUGGCAAAUCUAACUUUUUUUUUUUUUUUUUGUGUGUAGAUUUAAGUAUUUUUUUGGGUAAAUCUCACUACGUUUUUGGUAGAUCUAAAUAUUUUUUUUAACAGAUAUGAACAAUUUCUUGGUAGAUCUAACUUUUUUCUUGUUUAGGUUUGAAAUCUUUUCAAAUACUUGGUUUCUGGCUUAGGAUUUGUACGUUCUUGUUUGAAUUCCCUCAUAUUUUAUUCGUCCUUGCAUGCUUGAUUUUCCGAUUGUUAUUAGCUCUGUACUUUUUCGGGUUUGUUUUUGUUCUGAUUUAGCUUCCUGUCAUUUUGAGCAUCUUUUUUGUUUGCAUGUUUAUGAUUAGGGCUUAUUCUUAUAAUUUGUUCUUCGUCUCUUAUGAUUUUUUUCCACUCCUGGUAUGUUAUUCCAACCAAGUCCCUAUUAUUUUUUUUCCAUUUAUAUCGUAUUAACUUCUUCAUCUCUAUUCUUUCUUCUCCUGCUUAUAUAUGUUCUGUUUGUCUUUGUCUUCCCUACUUUUUUUUCCAAAUUACCUCUUGCCGCUUCAAUAAUAAACCAUGUAUCCUUCAUUUUCCAUUUUUUUUUCCAUCAAACUUGGACAGCGAGUAAAUCCUUAGUAGGGGAUACCAACCAUGUUAUUGGAGCUUGGUGGGAGUCCAAUCCACCCCACAAUAGGUUUAUUUUCUAAUAUUUUUUCCCUCAAGGCCAAUGAUGAUUUGUUUCAAAAUUCUGCACUCUAACUUUUCUAGUAUGAUUUCCGAUAUGAUUUUAUUUCAUUUCGAUAAUUAGAUUAAAAAAUUCUACAUCAUUGUUUUUUUCUUAUGUUUUAUGGACUGCUUUGUAAUUUCUUCCUUCGUAUAUAAUCAAUUUUUUUGGUGUUUUAGUUUGACCAAUGGAUUUUUUUUACAUUUGAAAUUGUUUUCAGUAUUCAACUAAAUUCAGUUUUCGUACACUUAAAUUGAACUUCAAUUUUACAACUGUUGCAACUGUUUACUUUGUUUGUUUGGAAUUGAAUUUCUUCCAAUGAAAGAUCUGUACCAAAUCCUAAGACCCUCUAAUCUUUAUUCUUAUGUCCAUUUAUGUGUGAGAUAUUAUGUUAUCUUUAUGUCCAUUUUCAGUAGAUUUAUUUUAUGGUCAACCACCUAAAAUUGAUAUUGAACUGACCCUUACUUACUUUAUUUAUGUUUGAGUUGACUCACUUUAUUAUAGGUAUAACGAAUUUACUAUUUGAACUUAUUGAGGUUAGGUGCACUUAAAUGCACCUAACUCUCCUCACCAACCAUUCUUAUUGUAUCUUCUACUUUUAUCUUAAUUCCUCAUAUUUUUUGAGACUUCUCUACAGCCUCCUUUGAUAUACUUGUUGAUACAUCCCUGCUCUAACCUUUUUUUUUUUUUUUCAAGUUUUCUUUAAACCGUUUUUACAUUCUUAUAUAUGUGGUUUGUCUGUUACAAUAUGUUCUAUUUUUUUCUUCUACCUCUGACUUCAACUUUAUUCCAUACAUAUAAGGUAGCUAACAAAUGAGAGAUUGCCCUAUACAAGGUAUGCUUCCUUUCUCCCUUAUAUUCCAAGUAAGAUCUAUCAUUAACGUUUUCAUGUCUCUGUUAGGCAACAUCUAUUUUCUGCCCCCUUAUGUGUGGACCGUCUCGAAUACCAUUCACUCUGAACAUAGUCGAAAGGAGCCAAACUAAUCGAACAUGCAUUUCGUAACUAGUUUGAGGUUCGUAAGUUUUACGUUCGGAGUAAUAUUUGUUAUAGUCUACUGUUUGUUGCUUGACUUGGUGAACAUUUGUAAUGCACUAUGGUUUUAUAUUUUUUUUUCACUUGUAUAUUGACAUUGUUGAAAACUUUUUUCUUUGUGGACUUUGAUUUGUUGUAAA